UACGUAGGGUGCAAGCGUUAAUCGGAAUUACUGGGCGUAAAGCGUGCGCAGGCGGUUUUGUAAGUCUGUCGUGAAAUCCCCGGGCUCAACCUGGGAAUUGCGAUGGAGACUGCAAGGCUAGAAUCUGGCAGAGGGGGGUAGAAUUCCACGUGUAGCAGUGAAAUGCGUAGAGAUGUGGAGGAACACCGAUGGCGAAGGCAGCCCCCUGGGUCAAGAUUGACGCUCAUGCACGAAAGCGUGGGUAGCAAACAGGG
rnacentral:rRNA from 1 species